AGCCCCUCUCUCAUUGCGUCAUUGUCUCCUCCACACACACACAUGCGCACACACACACAGUUCAAAAGUCAGUCCCUUAACCACGUUCAUGUUCUGAGACCUCAAACUUUAUCUUCUGCUCACGACUUAAGGAUCCUUAAUAUCAAUCAAUGGAUCUCCUGAAAACUUCACAACUGUUUUAAAGUACAAAGAGUUCUUCUAUAUUCUGCUUGUAAUUGUGACUCCAAGCCAGUGGAAUUGUUCUACUCUACUCUGAGGAGGCAUGGCUGACUCACAAAUCACAUAUACAUCAUCGACUUCAACGGUGCUGAUCCUUUUAUUCGCUCUACUAGGCCUCCUAGUAUUGCUCUUCUUCUUGUACAAGAGUUUGAACAAGGAGGCCAAUGGAGAGUACACCGUGCGGCGCAUGGUGUAUAAGGAAGGAGGGGUCAGGGACCGGGUGAGAAGGGCAGUGUUCGCUCUGGAGACACGUCUCGGAGUCCAGCUGUGGCCUCAAAGUGAUACAGAUGAGGAUGGAGAAGAAAUGCAGGAAGUCCAAGAUGAAGAGGAACAGGUGGAGGAGGGUGGUAGCCAGGGGAGUGACAGCAAGGAGGACGACCAGGAGGAGGAGGAAGAAGGGGAGGAGGAGGAGGAGGAGGAGCGGCAGUUUGGUGGGGCUAAGGGAGAAGGAAGUGACACACAUGAUGACUCAAGUUUGCAGAGUUCGGAGGCAGAGGUACAAGACAGACUAACGGAUGAGGUGGAGGCUGGGGGAGAGACUGGGGAGAAAGUGGGAGAUGGGGAAGGUAAAGGCAAAGCAAGUGGGGGUGCUGGAUUGUUGAUAGAUCUAAAGCAGUUCUCUGGAAGUGCCAUCUGGUAUGAGCAAGAGGGAAGUGAGGACAUAGACAUCAGUAAUGUGACCGCACUGUGAGAUCAGUGUACAAAAAAAAAUAAUACUUUGGAGGCUUCGGAUGUAGUAGCCUACAGAGGUCAUUAGUCCAAGUUUCCUAAUUAGAUGUUAAAAUAUAUUCUGUGUACAUUGGAUUUCCCAACAUGAAGGAGUAAAUACUGUUGCACACUGCCGAAGAAAAGUCUCAAAGUAGUCUACAAUACUGGAAUCACCCUAUAAAACCCCCCUAGAUACCGCUGGAGACCUUGUCCUCAAUGUUAGCUUUGGCUUUUGUCUUAACUUCACUUCCUGUUGAGGCAUGAGAAUAAAUAUGUGAUUGAUGGAUGAAGCUGUUAUAAAUAUGAAGGAAUACAAUGGAUUGCAUUUUAAAUGUGUGUUUAAAUGUUUACCAGAAAAACUGUUCAAAUAAAAAUGUGUAUUAUUGUGUCAA